CACAAAAUGAUGGCUCUGACUCAAAAUAACCCAAGCCAAAUACAUCAUCUCCCCCAGUCCCCAGGGUGAGACUUAAUUUCUCAUCCUCAAAGAUGUAUGAAUGGAUUAAUGGAUCAACAAGUAGCCAGUCCCAGAAGAUGUCCUUAAUAUUCUCAAUAAGGAGUUCGCCACUGAUAUUUUAAAGAAGAUGCAGAAGGGCAGAUGCCAAGAGGGGAUUAGUGAAACUGUCACCAGAGGACAGAUUCUGUUUCCCUGACAAGAUAGGAACCACUUUCAAGCUGUUUAAGUUACUUAACAGGAACGUCCUGAGAAAAAACAGUAAGGUGACAGUUUCCACUGUCACUUCUCCUGUGCCCCAACCACCA